rnacentral:rRNA from 1 species
GACGUAGGGGGCCAGCGUUGUUCGGAAUUACUGGGUGUAAAGGGUUCGUAGGCGGUGUGGCAAGUCGGGAGUGAAAUCUCUGGGCUCAACCCAGAGACUGCUUCCGAAACUGCUGUGCUUGAGUGUGAGAGAGGCUCGUGGAAUUGCAGGUGUAGCGGUGAAAUGCGUAGAUAUCUGCAGGAACACCCGUGGCGAAAGCGGCGAGCUGGAGCACUACUGACGCUGAGGAACGAAAGCUAGGGGAGCAAACAGG